rnacentral:lncRNA from 1 species
AUUAUCUUUGUGCCGAAUGAAAAGAGAAAGAAAAUAAGAAAACCAAGCUAUGUAUUCGGCCCUUGCUCAAGCAAAUUAAGGUAUGUUUCGGUUUCGGUUUUUGAUGAUUUUUAUGUUUUUGAGAUCGUUGUUUCGAAUACUACUCGACCCAUGCUUAAAUUUUUGAAUUUGAUGAUGAUUUUGUGUUUUGCCAUUGUUGAAAGCUUGUAAUUUUGUUGUUUAAUGAUAGAAAAUAAAAUAUAUGAAAUGGAUAUAUAUAUAUAUGUUGAAAUUGAAUUUUUAAUGAUUUUGAGUAAUUAAGGCUAAAUUGUAAAAAUAAUAAAUUGAGGAACUAAAAUAUGAAAUAAAUGACAUGCAUGGAUUUAUAUGAGCUUAGUGCAUAUUCGGCCAAGCUAUUGUGCAAGGAAAGUUUGUUUAUUUUGUAUUUUUUGUGAAAUAGGGACUAAUUUGUGAAAAAUGUGAAAUGUUAGGGGAAAAAGUGUAAUUUUCCCAUUUAUGUGUUUUUGGAUUUAAUUAAAUGAAUAUGUGGUUAAAUUAGUUAAAUUUGAACUUAUUUAGAUCAAGAAUAGAAGAAAACGGAAUUAGAUCGGGGAAAGUCGAAAGUAGUCGACUAUGUUCGUCGAUAUCCGAGGUAAGUCUAUUAGCAAUUUAAAAGUUAAUAAAUCAAUAUUUAUACAUGUAUAUCGAUUGUAUACUUGAUGAGUUGUAAUUAAAUGUUUAUAAUUUGAAGUAUAAGUAUAAAUUUUAUAUAAGUAUUUAAUAGUUUCAAAUAUACAAGUAUAAUCUUGUAUAAGUUCAUGAGUUAAAUUAUAGGUUUAAAUUUUAUAUAAGUAAAGGUGAGAUUCGGAUAGGCAUGUAUAUAUAUGAAAAUCUAUUGUAAUGAAAUUAGGUAAGAAAUUAUACUUGUAUAUGAUAGAUUCAAAAAUAUAUGUAAUAGAAUGAAUAAACCUUGAAUUUAGAUAAAGGUAUGAGUAUGUAUAUAUAUAUUUAUAAUUAUAUACAUAAUGAUCGAAUAUAUAUACAUAUGUAUACAUAUAUAUAUAGUUUUUGAAUUUAGUGGAAGUAUGAAUGUUGUAUAUGUAUGAAUUCUUGGUUUUAAUCCAAGAUAAGUAUGAUAUAUACAUAUAUAUGUACAUUAUGUCCGAAUAUAUGUAUAUAAAUAUAUAUGUAUAAGCUCUUAGAUUUGAUUAAGAUAUGUAACUUAUAUUUGUAUAUGUGAGUUGGUAAUUAUAUAUAUAUUAUAUUUGAAUGAACAGGUAUACAUACACGUAUAUGAUUUUAUAGUGAAUUUAGGUAUGACAAUUAUACAAGGUUACAUGAGGUUCGAUUAUGCUAAUAUACAAGUAUAUAUUCAUGUAAAGUUCUUGAAUAGCAUUGAAAGUAUGAAAUUAUUAGUUGGAUUAUUAAAAGAUGAUCGAAUAUAUGAUAUUAGUAGUAGAUUAAUGCAUUAAGUUAUAUAUAUAUAGGUUUGGAUGUAUAAUUAAAUUAUUGAGCUGGAAUUGAUGUUUGAACUUUAUACAUCUAUGUUAUUUAAAGAUAUAGUUUAUAAAUUAUUGAGCUGAAUUUUAUGUGGAUUCUAUAUACAAAUAUGAGAUACAACUUCUGUGAAUUGAGAUUUUUUUUAAAGCUUAGUACCAAUCAGAUUAAUUGCCGGUGAAAUGUUUCAGACUUUACGUCUAGCAGGCUAAGUGCCGAUGAACUGAAUCAGGCUAUAAGCCUAGCGGGCUAAGUACCGGUGAACUGAAUCAGGUUAUAAGCCUAGCAGGUGAAGUGCCAGUGAAUCUGUUUAAAUUAAGUGAUUAUAUGCAUUGGGUAUAUAUAUAUAUAUGAUUUUGGUUAUAUGUAAUGGAUAAAUAUAUGAACAUUUGUUUCAAUGUAUUUGAUGAGCAUAUAAACGUUCGGAUCUUUGUGAUUAGUGAGUAUGUACAUAUAUUGGUUGUCAUGAAAUUGUUGGAUAUAUAUAUAUACAUUCGGCCAAAUGUUAAACUUAUGUGUAUUUGGUUAAAUAUGGAUUUGAUGUAUAGUACGUGUUUGAUAAAUGUAUUUUUCGAUUAUGGAAAUGUAUAUGAAUAUUGAAAACAUGAUUUGAUUUUGUUGUAACUAAUUAAAUGUUGUUAAGUUAUCUAUUUGCUUAUGACUUACUAAGCUGUAAUAGCUUACUCUGUGUGUUUUUCUUAUAUUUUUAGAGUUCUAAAGACUUGCUCGGGUUGGAAGACGUUGGAAUCGUGAUCACACUAUCCGGUUAUGGCUUUGGUAAAUUAAAGCUUUGAGUUUUUGGUUAUGUGGCAUGUAUAGGCUAGUUUUAAUUUAGUUUUUGUAUAUAUAUUUAGCCAUGUGAAAAUGGCUUGAUCUAAUGCUAAUGAUCCAAGGUUUAAGUAAUUUUGGUCAUAGUAAAGGCGUGGGGUAUGCUUGGUAUAUGAAUUUGGUAAGACGUAAUGAUAUAUAUAUGUGUGUCUUUGAUAAGUUAUUUGAUAAUUCGGUAUGUAAAGGACUAAUGGUUUUAAUGCUUGAAUUACAAAAUGUGUUAUAUGUCUACAUAGUGGUAUGAUCGAUUAUGGUAAUUGACUUAUUAUUGUAAGUAUGAAAUAUUUGCAUUGGGUGUGUAUAUGAAAUUUUGAUAUGAGUUAUACUGUAUGAAAUUGGCAUAUUUUGAAUGGCUAAAGUACUUGGAAAAUGGCUAAUGUUAGUCAAGUGAAUAAAGUAUGUAUUGGUUUUAUAUGUAUUUUAGGCUUAAUAAUUAGCAUGCGAAUUGAGUGUAAAUUGUAUGGUUAGUUUGCUAGCCAAAUAGAAGAUAAGAUGAAUGGAAAAGCAUACACAUGUUUUGUACUUAAAUGGGAAGUUAGGCAUGUAUGACUUAUUAGUUGAGUUUAAAAAAAAAAAAGUGGUGCAUAGUUGAUAAGGUUAAAUGCAUUAGUGGCUAAGAUGUUUAUAUGCUAAACUUGACUAUUUGGUGAAAUUGAUUAUGUUAUAUUUUCUAAUGGACAAUAAGCCGAGCGAUAUGGAUUGUUUGGUUUUAUGCACAUGAAUAGAAGUAUGAAUUGAUAUAUUUGAUAUUCAGCUUAAGAAGUAAAAUAUGCUUGGAUGUCUUAAUGUAUGUGCAUGGAAUUUAUAAUGUGAUGAGUCAUCUUAUAAUUUGAUUUUGAAUGAUAUAAGUAAGAGGUAUAUAUGUUUCGAAUGAUGGGAUUUUAAAGCAUGUGUAAUAUGACUAUUUUGAGCCGUGUUUUAUAUGGUAAUGCCUUGUAACCUUAUUCCGGCGACGGAUAUAGGUUAUGGGUGUUACAGUAUCGGAUUAGUAGAUUCUCGUAAACGAACAAGUGUCGAGGUAAGUUCGUGUAACUAAAUUGUGUACAUUUAUAUGUUUGAAUUAAAUGGUAUAUAUGUGAAUUGUAUAAUUUCCAUGUAUAUAAAAUUGAUUAAAUACCCGAAAAUGCCUGAUAAAUGUUAAGUUCCGUUUGAACAAAUGAAAAUCGACAAAUACAAGUUUCAUGUAUUGGUUGUAGUCCUGCAUAUGUUGCGGACACAACACAGCUCGAAAGAGCGUCCAUUUAUUAGCCCUCUCGAGCUUCCUGUUAUAUGGUUCUUGCGAGUUUUUCGUUAAUAGCUCUUCGGAGCAUCCCGAUUGGUUGUGAUCCUAUAUGUGUUGUGGACACACCACAACUCUUAUGAGCUUCCUGAUUAUGGCUCUUUGUGAGCUUCCCGUUAAUUGGCUCUUUGUGAGCUUCCCAAUAAGGCUCACUUGGACUUCUCGAUAUUAAGCUAUCCGGUGCUUCCUGUUAAUGGCUCUUCGGAGCUACUCGAUAUUGGAUCGCAUGAGCUUCCUGAAUAUGGCUCUUAUAAGCUUCCCUUUACAUGGCUCACAUGAGCUUCCCGUUAUAUGGCUCGAGAGAGUGUUUCCUGUUUAAGUGUUCUUAUAAACACUCUUGAAUAUGAAUUGACGAAUUACAGAUUCGUACACUUCAUGUGUACUACCCGAUGUCUAUCGAUAUUUCAUAAGGUUCAAUGAGCAAAGUCCUGAUAUAAGUUAAGAUAAGGUCUGAAUGAAUUAAUAAUUGUAUCUACCUGAAAAUACAUGGAAAUGUUUAUACUAUGAGUUCAUCUCUGUUACUUACUUGAAAUGCAUUUGAAAUAUAUGACUAACUUGUUUGAGGAUGUAUAUGUGUUAGGUUAUUGAUUAAUUUGAUUUGGAUGUACUUUGUAUGCUUAUUUUAAAUGAAUAUGAAUGGUAAGUCAUUUUAUCGUUAUACGAACUUACUAAGCAUUAAAUGCUUACUUUGUUUUAUUUUCUCUAUUUUAUAGUACUCGGAAGCUCGUAAAGGUUGGAGCGGGUCGGAGCAAGAUCACACUAUCCUUCAGCUCUUUUUGGUAUAAAUAGUAAACUUUAAUUAGGAUAUAAUGACAUGUAUAGGUUAAAUUGGUUAAUUGUUGGCGUACACAUGUUUUGGUUGUAAAUAGCCAUUGGAAUGGCUUGUAAUGGUCAUGUUUUGAUAUAUAUACAUAUGGUAUUAUCAUGUUUGAAUUAUGAAUAUGAUUAUGUAUAUAUGCAUUUGGUAUCUAGGUAAGUAUAAGUUUUAGAAUAACACAAUAAUAAAUUGUCUAUUGGGAAGCCUAAG